rnacentral:rRNA from 1 species
GGUGAACGCUGGCGGCAGGCCUAACACAUGCAAGUCGAACGGCAGCACAGGGGAGCUUGCUCCCUGGGUGGCGAGUGGCGGACGGGUGAGGAAUACAUCGGAAUCUACCCUGUCGUGGGGGAUAACGUAGGGAAACUUACGCUAAUACCGCAUACGACCUCCGGGUGAAAGCAGGGGAUCGCAAGACCUUGCGCGAUUGGAUGAGCCGAUGUCCGAUUAGCUAGUUGGCGGGGUAAAGGCCCACCAAGGCGACGAUCGGUAGCUGGUCUGAGAGGAUGAUCAGCCACACUGGAACUGAGACACGGUCCAGACUCCUACGGGAGGCAGCAGUGGGGAAUAUUGGACAAUGGGCGAAAGCCUGAUCCAGCCAUGCCGCGUGGGUGAAGAAGGCCUUCGGGUUGUAAAGCCCUUUUGUUGGGAAAGAAAACUUUCCGGUUAAUACCCGGAGAGAAUGACGGUACCCAAAGAAUAAGCACCGGCUAACUUCGUG